rnacentral:rRNA from 1 species
UACGUAGGGUGCGAGCGUUAAUCGGAAUUACUGGGCGUAAAGCGCUCGUAGGUGGUUUGUCGCGUUGUUCGUGAAAACUCACAGCUCAACUGUGGGCGUGCGGGCGAUACGGGCAGACUAGAGUACUGCAGGGGAGACUGGAAUUCCUGGUGUAGCGGUGGAAUGCGCAGAUAUCAGGAGGAACACCGGUGGCGAAAGCGGCUCACUGGACCUCUUCUGACGCUGAGGCACGAAAGCUAGGGUAGCGAACGGG